rnacentral:misc_RNA from 1 species
GCCCUGCAUACAUGAAAAGGAAAUAAAAAGGAACAAGAAACCCCCAGCCAGGAUCCAAUCAAAGAGAUGGAAGAAAAUGAGGCACAACAGAUUCAGAGCCACAGCAACUACAUCAAAGCUGUCAAUUUCCCCCGGGCCAUAACAUUCAAAAUGAAUGAUCAGUCAAAGGAUAAUGUGCCAUGAUCCAUAGGCAUGGGAAAUGCAUUGGAAAGCUACCAGUUUUCCAUUACUUUCCAACU